rnacentral:rRNA from 1 species
GACGUAGGGCGCGAGCGUUGUCCGGAUUUAUUGGGCGUAAAGAGCUCGUAGGCGGUUUGUCGCGUCUGCUGUGAAAUCCCGAGGCUCAACCUCGGGCUUGCAGUGGGUACGGGCAGACUAGAGUGCGGUAGGGGAGAUUGGAAUUCCUGGUGUAGCGGUGGAAUGCGCAGAUAUCAGGAGGAACACCGAUGGCGAAGGCAGAUCUCUGGGCCGUAACUGACGCUGAGGAGCGAAAGCGUGGGGAGCGAACAGG